GAAGAAGAAGAAGAAGAAGAAGAAGAAGAAGAAGAUCGGUCAUCACCACUCUGCACCUUCUCAAAUCUUCUUCUUUUUCUUCUCUGCCCACUCCUCUCCUUCUCUCUCUCUCUCAUCAUCAAUCAUAUCUUGUUUAUUUUUUUGUCAUUAUAAGAUACAUUCAUCUUCCCCACUCCCAUCAAACUUAACAAACCCCUCCAUAUCCCUAUUUUUCUUAAAUCCCACCCACCUUCCCCCAAAAAAAAUGAAAGGAGAAGAAUAUCUAGAACAACCACCACAUCAUCAUCAUCAUCCAAAUCCAAAGCAUGACAAUACUACUAAUAUGUUCUCCAAACUUCACCCCCACCGCCACCAAAACCCUAACCCAAAUCCUUUCCCUCACCACCAAGACCAUGACCUCCCUCCCUCCGACCACCCCAACUCCAGCGAUGGCGGCGGCGCUACUAUCGAGGUCGUCCGCCGCCCUCGAGGCCGCCCACCUGGAUCCAAAAACAAACCAAAACCACCCAUAAUCAUCACCCGGGUAGACCCAGCUGAACCGCCCANNN
rnacentral:lncRNA from 1 species